UGUGGGCAUCGUCCAGGGAGCUUCAAGGGAAUUGGGGACAGCUUUGCAGGCACAGAAAGGAGAAGGCUGGGAUUCACUCAGACCACACGCUGCGACGUCUGCCUAGUGGAUGGCCAGCCAGAUGCACAUGGUGUGUGAGGCACUUUGUGGCAGAGGCGGGCAGGGAGGUGGAAGCCUUCCAGUUAUUUCUGAGUUGACUGAUGUGAGAUUGUCAGUCACACUGCCAGGCGCUGUUUUGACUCCACUCAUCAAGAUUUGCCCUGUGCAGCUCCAAAAAAGGUAUCUGCUUUGAAAGUAGUGUUCUGCGUUCUUGGAGCAGAUGACUGGUGACAACAUCCAAUUAAAUAUAAACGCUUGGCCGGGGAACUUGACUUGGAGGGUUGGUGAAGUUUCAGGUCUAACUUGUUAAACUUGGCCUUCCUCAAAUACUGGACAACUUUCUCCAAAAACAGCACUUCAGGGAAUCAAACCUAAUUAUAAGUGGCAUCUUCAAUUAGACAUAGAUCUCCAUCAGCCACCUUCCUGCCUCGGGAAAGGCGUACGUCAACCCCAGGCUAGAGAAAGGAUCUGUGAUACCUGAUGACUUCUUUGUCUUUCCCACUGGUUCAAUCCUAUUUCAGCCAUUCAUGAGAUGAAUAUCUACGAGGCAUUUACAGGGAGGAAGGCACAUAUCUGCGGAGGUGACGACUGGGCUGAUGUGAUUCUGUGAACCACUUGAGAAAAGAGGCUUUGGCUUUAUCUUCAUACUUCCGACACCUAGCAGAGUGCCUGCUGCCUGGCAUGGGAGAGCCUCAGUUUGGCAACUGACUUCCAGGGGACAUUGUGAAAGCUGGUUGACUCUUGGUCACGUGUUGCAGUGAUGAGCCGGUAGCAUCCUUGACUCUGAGCACCUCCCUCCCCCUACUGGGAGGUUACCCCACUUGUUCUUCACCAUCGUGGCCACCACUGGACCCUAGUGUCUCAUUUCACACUACAGGCUCCCCCUGUAAAAUAAAAUUGAUAAGAGGCUUUCUCACUAGUCAGA